UGUGGGAGCGAGCCUGCUCGCGAUGGCGGUAGAGCUGUCACAUCCCUGUCGACUGACAGGCCGCUAUCGCGAGCAGGCUCGCUCCCACA
rnacentral:misc_RNA from 1 species